rnacentral:miRNA from 1 species
UAGAAUUUGCAUCCAAGA